GUGAACGCUGGCGGUAGGCCUAACACAUGCAAGUCGAACGGCAGCACAGUAAGAGCUUGCUCUUACGGGUGGCGAGUGGCGGACGGGUGAGGAAUACAUCGGAAUCUACUUUUUCGUGGGGGAUAACGUAGGGAAACUUACGCUAAUACCGCAUACGACCUACGGGUGAAAGCAGGGGAUCUUCGGACCUUGCGCGAUUGAAUGAGCCGAUGUCGGAUUAGCUAGUUGGCGGGGUAAAGGCCCACCAAGGCGACGAUCCGUAGCUGGUCUGAGAGGAUGAUCAGCCACACUGGAACUGCGACACGGUCCAGACUCCUACGGGAGGCAGCAGUGGGGAAUAUUGGACAAUGGGCGCAAGCCUGAUCCAGCCAUACCGCGUGGGUGAAGAAGGCCUUCGGGUUGUAAAGCCCUUUUGUUGGGAAAGAAAAGCAGCAGGUUAAUACCCCGCUGUUCUGACGGUACCCAAAGAAUAAGCACCGGCUAACUUCGUG
rnacentral:rRNA from 1 species